AGACGGGUGAGUAACGCGUGGGAACCUUCCCUGUGGUACGGAAUAACUUCGGGAAACCGAAGCUAAUACCGUAUAUCUCCUCCGGGAGAAAGAUUUAUCGCCAUAGGAUGGGCCCGCGUUGGAUUAGCUAGUUGGUAGGGUAAUGGCCUACCAAGGCAACGAUCCAUAGCUGGUCUGAGAGGAUGAUCAGCCACACUGGGACUGAGACACGGCCCAGACUCCUACGGGAGGCAGCAGUGGGGAAUAUUGGACAAUGGGCGCAAGCCUGAUCCAGCCAUGCCGCGUGAGUGAAGAAGGCCUUAGGGUUGUAAAGCUCUUUUGGCGGGGACGAUAAUGACGGUACCCGCAGAAUAAGCCCCGGCUAACUUCGUGCCAGCAGCCGCGGUAAUACGAAGGGGGCUAGCGUUGUUCGGAAUCACUGGGCGUAAAGCGCACGCA
rnacentral:rRNA from 1 species